rnacentral:sRNA from 1 species
GUUCUUCUUGAUUUAAUGAAAAUUGCAGGUAUGGCAGAUGGGACUGAUUCGUUGUCGACUGUUUCAUUAAUUAUGGCAACUGGAGAAAGUUCAUUUUCAUGUGUAGGUAAUUUCUGGACGAAUGUUGAUUGAAGCUUGAACCCAUAUCCACAUAAGGUUUCAAUGCCUGUAAUGUCAUAAAUUUCUUUGGCCACUGUCGGGGACAUAGUGAACCAGAUUGGAAAGGCGUGUGUCAACAGGUUUUACAGCUACUAUACACUAAUAACUUAAUAGACUGAGCAUCUCUCUUGCAUGUGUAUUGAAUCACAACAUUUUGUCAAAUGUUACUCCGAGGUAUUUGACUCUGGAUUCUACAGGAAUGCUUACUCCAUUGAGGGUAAUUUGCAGUAUCUUGCUCUGGUGUUCCACAUACCUUGGACAUUUGCCAGAGGCAUUCCGUAUGCAGAUUGCCCGAGAUUUGGCGGCAUUAAUUCUAAUACCCCAAGUUUCAUAAUACUGGUUAAUUCGACUUAGAUGAGCUGCUGCUUUCUCAAGAGCAAUUUCGGGCAACUUGUCAUGUGCAUAUAUAAGGCAAUCAUCUGUCCUGCGAAUCAACCGCAGUGUGAAGAAAGUCAUGUAAGGAUAAAUUGAACAGAUACGGCGCCAAUGCACUACCCCGCGGAACUCCGCUGUUAACAGAACC